rnacentral:rRNA from 1 species
UAGAGUUUGAUCAUGGCUCAGGAUGAACGCUAGCGACAGGCCUAACACAUGCAAGUCGAGGGGCAUCGGGGCUAGGAGCAAUCCUUGCCGCCGGCGACCGGCGCACGGGUGAGUAACGCGUAUGCGACCUGCCCGUUGCAGGGGGAUAAUCGGGAGAAAUCCCGUCUAAUACCGCGUAAUGCCGCGGGGCUGCAUGGCCCUGCGGCCAAAGGGAGCGAUUCCGGCAACGGAUGGGCAUGCGUGACAUUAGCUAGUUGGCGGGGCAACGGCCCACCAAGGCGACGAUGUCUAGGGGUUCUGAGAGGAAGGUCCCCCACACUGGUACUGAGACACGGACCAGACUCCUACGGGAGGCAGCAGUGAGGAAUAUUGGUCAAUGGGCGCGAGCCUGAACCAGCCAAGUCGCGUGAGGGAUGACGGCCCUACGGGUUGUAAACCUCUUUUGUCGGGGAGCAAAUUCCGUUACGUGUAACGGAGUCGAGAGUACCCGAAGAAAAAGCAUCGGCUAACUCCGUGCCAGCAGCCGCGGUAAUACGGAGGAUGCGAGCGUUAUCCGGAUUUAUUGGGUUUAAAGGGUGCGUAGGCGGACUGUCAAGUCAGCGGUAAAAUACGGGGGCUCAACCUCCGCCCGCCGUUGAAACUGACGGUCUUGAGUGGGCGAGAAGUAUGCGGAAUGCGUGGUGUAGCGGUGAAAUGCAUAGAUAUCACGCAGAACUCCGAUUGCGAAGGCAGCAUACCGGCGCCCAACUGACGCUGAAGCACGAAAGCGUGGGUAUCGAACAGGAUUAGAUACCCUGGUAGUCCACGCAGUAAACGAUGAAUACUAGCUGUCCGGGGCGAAUGAGCCCUGGGUGGCACAGCGAAAGCGUUAAGUAUUCCACCUGGGGAGUACGCCGGCAACGGUGAAACUCAAAGGAAUUGACGGGGGCCCGCACAAGCGGAGGAACAUGUGGUUUAAUUCGAUGAUACGCGAGGAACCUUACCCGGGCUCAAACGACACAGGAACGUACCUGAAAGGGUUCGGCUCUACGGAGCCUGUGUCGAGGUGCUGCAUGGUUGUCGUCAGCUCGUGCCGUGAGGUGUCGGCUUAAGUGCCAUAACGAGCGCAACCCCCAUCGACAGUUGCUAACAGGUCAGGCUGAGGACUCUGUCGAGACUGCCGGCGCAAGCUGCGAGGAAGGCGGGGAUGACGUCAAAUCAGCACGGCCCUUACGUCCGGGGCGACACACGUGUUACAAUGGCAGGUACAGCGGGAAGCCACCUGGCGACAGGGAGCGGAACCCGAAAGCCUGUCUCAGUUCGGAUUGGAGUCUGCAACCCGACUCCAUGAAGCUGGAUUCGCUAGUAAUCGCGCAUCAGCCACGGCGCGGUGAAUACGUUCCCGGGCCUUGUACACACCGCCCGUCAAGCCAUGGAAGCCGGGGGUGCCUGAAGUGCGCUGCCGCGAGGAGCGCCCUAGGGUAAAACCGGUGACUGGGGCUAAGUCGUAACAAGGUAGCCGUAA